CGAAAGGUGGCUUGACCAGGCAUGUGAAUUCCAAACAUCGAGAUAAAGGAUAUGAGGCAAGUAAAGACAUCCCCGCACUGACAAAGGAUGGUUUAAUCUCCAUCGUGAAUAAAAUAAAGUUAAAUAUAACGAAUGAAGGUUAUUGGGACAAGCAAAUAACAUCGGAUUUGACGAAAAUCACCUCAAACGAUUCUUUGUUUGACGCUGUGCUGCCAAUAUACAAGCGAUUUUGCAAUAAACGAAACCAAGACAAGUUCCUCACAGAAUUCUAUGAGCUUAUUCCCACAUCAUCUGCCCUUUUCAAGUGUGCAAAUCAGCCAUUAUGUAGCCUUGUAAUGAUCUCCAUGACAGACCAUUUAGUGGCAUUAUUUAAGUCUGACCAUAAUAGUGAGCAAAUAACUUCAGGUUCAAGUAACAAGUCUCUGGAUCUAAGUGAACACGAACGUGGACCCUUGUCCUACAUUGCUGGGUACAUAUUAGCAAAAUUGCAAAAGCAGUGUUCCAGUAAACCUAAUGACGAGCUCCAGACUUUACUUCAAAAUAUGAAAUGCCCUGGUAUUGAGAACACCUAUAUUGAUGCUCGCAGCAGGGGUGGACUUGUGACACCAUGCAAGGACUUGGUGGAAAUUGUAGAAAUUGUUGAGGUAAUAUUUCGACAAUUUGUCACCAAGCAAAAAGACUUACUGCAGAAAAUUCCUUGUGAUUCCUUAUGCAAUGAUGCACUUGAAUCACCAUUGCUCAAGUCAUUGUGGGAAAACAUUUUGCAGGAAUGCAACCAAGAUUUGUCCAAACAAACUACCAAGCUUUGCCUGGAAAACAUUAUAAAACUUUAUUUAAAGGUCCGCAGCUUUUCAUAUGCAAAAGACUAUAUUAGCAAAUUUAAAAUCAAACAAAAAGCAGCAAAGAGCAAAGGACUGCGAAAAGAACUAAAAAGGCAGAAUGAAUUAGUCGCGAACUGAAUUGCAUUUUAUAAAAACACUUUUAAAUCAUGUACAUAUAGUUAUUGUUUAAAUAAGGGUAUUUUGUAAAGGGCUAAAGGAUUGAUUUCAAGUCUCUGAAUAAAGUGUUCUAAUCGAAGCUGUUUAAUCAGAGAGUGCUUUAUUGCCCAAAAUAUUGAAUAACAUAUUAAAUUGGGCUGCAAUGCAUCCUACUUCAGAGAUAUGAAAAGCUAAUUUCAAUCUUUCAAGACUGAAAUUAGCAUCCUAUACACCCUUUUCAU